rnacentral:rRNA from 1 species
CAGCACCUCAAGUGGUCAGGAUGAUUAUUGGGCCUAAAGCAUCCGUAGCCGGCGCUGUAAGUUUUCGGUUAAAUCUGUACGCUCAACGUGCAGGCUGCCGGGAAUACUGCAGCGCUAGGGAGUGGGAGAGGUAGACGGUACUCGGUAGGAAGGGGUAAAAUCCUUUGAUCUAUUGAUGACCACCUGUGGCGAAGGCGGUCUACCAGAACACGUCCGACGGUGAGGGAUGAAAGCUGGGGGAGCAAACCGGAUUAGAUACCCGAGUAGUCC